UACAGAGGGUGCGAGCGUUGUCCGGAAUCACUGGGCGUAAAGGGCGCGUAGGUGGCGUCGCAAGUCGAUGGUGAAAGCUCGGCGCUCAACGCCGAGUCGGCCCUUGAUACUGCGAGGCUCGAGCACUGUAGAGGCUAAUGGAAUUCCGGGUGUAGCGGUGGAAUGCGUAGAGAUCCGGAAGAACACCGGUGGCGAAGGCGGUUAGCUGGGCAGUUGCUGA
rnacentral:rRNA from 1 species